rnacentral:rRNA from 1 species
AUACAGAGGGUGCGAGCGUUAAUCGGAAUUACUGGGCGUAAAGCGCGCGUAGGCGGCUUAUUAAGUCAGAUGUGAAAUCCCCGGGCUCAACCUGGGAACUGCAUCUGAUACUGGUAAGCUAGAGUUUUGGAGAGGGAAGUAGAAUUUCAGGUGUAGAGGUGAAAUGCAUAGAGAUCUGAAGGAAUACCAGUGGCGAAGGCGACUUCCUGGCCAAAAACUGACGCUGAGGUGCGAAAGCGUGGGUAGCAAACGGGAUUAGAAACCCCGGUAGUCC